rnacentral:lncRNA from 1 species
UAAUUUGUUUUGAAUAUUUGUUAACUAUUGCAUAUUUUUGCAUAUCUUGAAAACAAUUGAUAUUCGUUGCACAAUUGAUUAGAAAUUAAAUUAUAUAAUAUAGUAAUCAGAAUAAAUUUGUGCACAUUCGAGCUUUCAACUGAGCCGCUAGAAGGGUGUGAUCCCUUUUGCGAAAGUCAACGACAGGUAACGGCAGCGGUCGACCACUGACGACCAAUCACAGUGCAUCUCACUCUUGUAGGAGGGUCGAAGCCUUCCUGCGGCUUAGUUGAAAGUGCGAAAGCGGACAAGCUCAUUCUGAGUAGAAUACUUGUACUGCUGUUAAGACAUUUAAGAGGAUGCAACACCCGAAUGUGUUGUAUCCGUCUAAUAAACGUGUACCUUACCAAAUGUACGCUCGGCAGUUCAAGUUUUAUGCCGUUAGCUCACAAAUCAGAGUUAAUCGACUUAUUAUAAAAAUGGAUGGGAAGAACAUUAUCUGUGUUUUGAUGGAAGUUUAUUUACGACUAUUCAGUUUUUAAAUGAGUUAUGAGCAUUUUUAAUUUACCAUUUAUUAUAGGUAGACGCAUAACUCACUUAAAAACUGAAUUAUUGUAAAAAACUUCAAUCAAAACACAGAUAAUGUUCUUACCAUCUACUUUCAUAACAGAAGGUCGAUUCACUCUAAUUUGUAAGCAGACGGCAUAGAACUUGAACUGCUGAGCGUAAAUUUGGUAUGUUACGCGUUUGUAAGACAGAGACAAUAUAUUCGGUAGCAUCCUCUAAAUAAAUUCUUAAUAUCGUCAAGCAAUUUCACUAAAAAAAUAUUUGUUUUGCAUUAUCCUAUAAGAGUAAUAUUAAUUAACAUAGUAUGUCGUAAAUGAUGAGAUUCUGUUGAAGAGAAGCUGUUGCGCUCAAGGAGAUGGGGGAUUUGGGUCUGCAGAAAUCUUCAAGAGUUCCGAAUCUUGUAAUAAGGAAUUUCAUAAAACACUCCAUUAUAAUGAACAUUACAUAAAAAGCAGCCGUAAUGUGUCUGCAACAACAAAGAAAAAAACAUAUAUGGCGAUUUGGAAACGUUGAAAAUAGAAAUUCAACCCUGUUGUAUCGAUAUAAUGAACUACCUAAACAUGAGACCACUAAAAAUAGCAGAGAUGACAAUAUUGUUAGCUAUCACGGUAGAUACUGAUUGUCUUGUAUAUAACCAGUUUAUUGAUCCAUGUCCCGAAGCUUUAUACAACCCACCAUGUGGAUGGCCAGAAAACACGAACACGUCUGUCGCAUUCAUAAUAUAACCCCGACUUUGACAAUCAGAUUUGAUGGUCAAGGAACUACAGGGACUGAUACCCCUGAAACUUUAAAAAUCAAGGCGAGAAGAAGCAGAAGAAACAGAAGAAGCAGAAGAAGAAGAAGAAUAAAUCUCUUAUUAAUAUAAGAGAGGUAGAAUCAACCAGUUUAAAACUAUUGAUAGAUUUCAUUUAUACGGGUGAAAUCAUAAUCAGCGAUCAAAAUGUGCUGGUAUAAAUAAAAAAUUAAAAUUGUUAAAUGAAAAAUUAACACCAUUAGAACUUUCUGCUUUGCCAAUACCAAUUAAUGCUACACAAUUAGCAUCUAAUGCUAGAAUGAAUGUACUAGGUGUGUAAAAUACUCUUGCUUAAGUACAUUUCAUCUUUCACAUUACAACCAGAUCCUGUUAAAUAACAAUCUUUCAAAUAAUACACAAAAGUUGUCUACAUCUAAUACCAUCAUGUCAAUUGUUGAUGAUUUUUCAAACAUUGAUUAAGAGCUGAAAGAAAAACUGAAGAUCAUUUUAGCUAAUUACUUGUUAUCCAUCAAGACUACGAAAGAUACUUCAUACUUGAACAUUCAAUUUUUUUUCGUAAUACAUCCUUCUAGCACCAAUAUAAAAUAAACUAAAAAAUAAUCAAGCAUAAAGUAGACACUUAUUAAAAAGGACUAUAUCUGCUACAAAUUAUUAAUAUAAAUAUAAUAAGUAGUAGGUAGUAUUAG